rnacentral:rRNA from 1 species
GUGAGGAAUAUUGGUCAAUGGGCGAGAGCCUGAACCAGCCAAGUCGCGUGAAGGAAGAAGGAUCUAUGGUUCGUAAACUUCUUUUGCAGGGGAAUAAAGUGCAGGACGUGUCCUGUUUUGUAUGUACCCUGAGAAUAAGGAUCGGCUAACUCCGUGCCAGCAGCCGCGGUAAUACGGAGGAUCCGAGCGUUAUCCGGAUUUAUUGGGUUUAAAGGGUGCGUAGGUGGUUUGAUAAGUCAGCGGUGAAAGUUUGCAGCUUAACUGUAAAAAUGCCGUUGAAACUGUCGGACUUGAGUGUAAAUGAGGUAGGCGGAAUGCGUGGUGUAGCGGUGAAAUGCAUAGAUAUCACGAAGAACUCCGAUUGCGAAGGCAGCUUACUAAGCUACAACUGACACUGAAGCACGAAAGCGUGGGGAUCAAACAGGAUUAGAAACCCCGGUAGUCC